rnacentral:misc_RNA from 1 species
GAUGAAGAACGUAGCGAAAUGCGAUAAGUAAUGUGAAUUGCAGAAUUCAGUGAAUCAUCGAAUCUUUGAACGCACAUUGCGCCCCCUGGCAUUCCGGUGGGCAUGCCUGUUCGAGCGUCAUUUCACCACUCAAGCCUCGCUUGGUAUUGGGCAACGCGGUCCGCCGCGUGCCUCAAAUCGACCGGCUGGGUCUUCUGUCCCCUAAGCGUUGUGGAAACUAUUCGCUAAAGGGUGUUCGGGAGGCUACGCCGUAAAACAACCCCAUUUCUAAGGUUGAACUCGGAUCAGGUAGGGAUACCCGCUGAACUUAAGCAUAUCAAUAAGCGGAGGA